AGACUGGGGGAUUGUUUGUUGUCGUUUGUUUUGCCGCUGCGACUGCGCAGUCUAUUCAUUAUUUCUGAUUAAUUGUGGAUUGUUCAGGUGAAAAUGUUGUAAAAUGUGCCGGCGCUAUAUCCACCAUGUUCCGCCCAGACAGACCCUGUCCAGAGGGAACCACUUUGAAAGGAGACAGGUGAGGAGCAAGUCCAGCUGACAGAAAGUAUAAAUAUGACGAUACACUUGGAUACACUUUUGCAAAAGAAUCGAUAGCAGUUCGAUAGCAGCUGGCUUGCUUGACACCGGCGUCUACUCGCCCUCCGUGCAGCACAUCCUAUACGGGUUUUGCAAUUUAGAUCACCUGGGUGAAGAUGACGAUGCAACAUCGACAUGUCGAAGUACCCAGCAAAUGUGACGACAGGAGUUCCUGUCAAAAUCUUUGAUAGUGCGCGUCUUCUUCUUCUUGGCGUCCUAUGACCCCCCGUGGGGGAAAGGGCAGACACAACGGUUCUCCAUCUCAGUCUGUCGACGGCAGCAAGCUUCACGUGGUCCAAGCCACGUCAUCUCCGCGUCCUGCAUCUCGUCAUGAAAGUGUGCAUCACUGAAAAUAUAAUACCUAAAUGGCCAUUAGAAUUGAAUUACGUUCACCCUAGAUAACACAGUACACAGUCAUGCAUGCACUAUAAUACCACAAUAUAUUAUAAUAUAAUGAGCUCUUACUUAAAAGAGCUAUGAUAUAAGUAAAGCUAUCGAUGUUAUUUGUCACACCAGAGUAAAAGUUCUUACUGUACCUUAGUUAAUGAAAAAUAAAUAAAUAAUGAUUAUUAUUAAUAAGCACACUAUACAGAAUUCUUGAAUCAGAAUAUAGGCUAAGAAUUUUGUAAGAAAAAAAAUAAUAAAUUUAGAAAUACCAUUGUGAUCUUAAUCAUACCUACUUAUAACAAUAAUAAACAAUAUAAAAUAAUUUAACAUGAUUGUGUUGAUGUAGUUUCUAAUGUGUAUUUGUAUAAAAUAAAAUAAAUUUGUCUUGG